GAAAUGCGAUAAGUAAUGUGAAUUGCAGAAUUCAGUGAAUCAUCGAAUCUUUGAACGCACCUUGCGCUCCUUGGUAUUCUGAGGAGCACACCUGUUUGAGUGUCAUGAAAUUCUCAACCUUGCAUGCCUUUUGUGGUUUGUUAGGCUUGGAUAUUGGAGGGUUUGUGUUGGCAUCUGGUCAACUCCUCUUAAAUGCAUUAGCUUGGUCCUUUGCAGAUCGGCUCUUGGUGUGAUAAAUUGUUUAUGCCAUGACCGUGAAGUUUGGUAAGCUUAUAAUUGUCUCGGUGAGGAGACAGCUUUUGUUGACAUCUGGCCUCAAAUCAGGUGGGAUUACCCGCUGAACUUAA
rnacentral:misc_RNA from 1 species